rnacentral:piRNA from 1 species
UCCCAAAGUGCCGGGAUCACAGGCUUGUGC